GGAGAAGCAGACCUCCUGCAGAGCAGGGAGCAUGAUGCGGGCUCCAUCCCAGGAUCCUGGGAUCAUGACCUGAGCCAAAGGCAGACGCUUAACAACUGAGCCACCCAGGUGCCCCUUGCAAUCCCAUUUUAAAGAAAAACAACAAGCAUAUUCCUUAUUGGUGGCAUAGCGGCUAAGGUGGUGUAGACCCUUCCACGGUUAAGGCAAUGAAAAUGGAAUCAAGCCCCCCACAUCAGUGAUAAAACAAAUACCUGUUCCGGCCCCCACAGCUCUGGAGAGUGUAUUGUGGCCCCAUGAGGAGCUGUGAUGAGAACAUGUGAUGAGAAUUAUAGUGGGGGUGGACUGUAGCACAAAAAUCUGGAAGAGUAAAUAAUUUGACUUUUUCUCUGAUUUUGGUGGGGGAGGGCAUGAAGAAGAAAAUAGCUUAUCCAAUCAUCAAAAGGAAUGAGGUGAGCCCUCAGUGAAAUUGUAAGUUAAUCGCUUUUUAUUUCCAUCCUUCCAUGCCUUCCCUGAGCCCCCUCUACCUCUCACUGGCCCACUCCCUCAUUGCUGUGCAUUCCCAGCGCUGGGUCUUUGUCUCCUGUGACCAACUACCAGCCUGAGAAGCUGAUUCUCCCCAUGGUAUUACUGACUGUCCUCAACUAGAGAAGAAAGUUGAUUACAAGAAAACAAAACCCAGUCAGACUAGAUGAAAUACAGGUGUACCAUAAACCUAUGAGAGGAAAUCUCAAAGAUCUUCAAAGACAGGGAAAAAAGGAUGACGUCAGCAGACUGAAAGUGAAACAGGAAGUGGGUUCGGGAAGCCAGAAUUGGAAGACAGGACCGCUCUUCUAUGCUUUUCUUCUCCAUUUCUCUCCAAUUUUGUGGGAAACAGAACACCACAACGACCACUGGCGCAUGUUCACUCAGACUCCGAGAUCUCUGAGAAAACUCAAGAUCUCAGGGUUAAAAAUAACCCGAAAGGAUCAGAGUGAAAUGCCCUUGGGAUGUGUGUGGUCUGUUCUAAAGUACACAGCAGAAGAUGUUUUGUAGACAGGAAGCCAGCUGUAAAAAGCGCACUGUGCACUCCCUUCUUUGUUCUCUUAUCCUGUGUUAAGGUCCGAGUACAAUGGUGUUUACAAUUAAUUGAUCACAGCCAGUUACAGAUUUCUUUAUUCCUUCUCCACUCCCACUGCUUCACUUAACUAAUCCUGUUUACACGGAGGAAUGUGCCUUACUAUGCCCCUGCUGUAAAUCAUUAUAGAUCUAUAUCGCUGUAGAAGGUAUAUAAGAGUAUGGAAACUAAACCUCAGCACCUCGGGCUGUUUGGUCGGGGUCUCCCUGUGCUUCCGUAUACUGUCGUCUCUUUUUCUCAGUUCCUUCGCCACCCAGGUCCCCGACUCUCUGAGGUCGACAAGUGGCGCCCGAACAGGGACCUGAAGCCCCCGUCGAGGAGUGAUCGGCCAGCGCUAGGAACCGGCAGCAGGGAGAGAAGCUCUUCCCGCCCGCGGGUCCUGUCCCCGCGCUUUAAUAAAACCACCAUUUUGUACCGAAGACGUCUCAAGAAUUCUUUCAUGGCUGUUGGCUCUGGACCCCACAAACAACACACCAGCAUUCAAAAAACCUACAUCAUAGUCAUGAGGAGGAAUUUCCAGGACAGACAACAGCGCAGCUAACAGGUCUGGCAAUCCUGUUCAUCUUUCCACCUGGGUAUCCAAUCACCUUCUGCUUGGUGAUGGGACUCCUGUUUGCUGUGGACACGGGGCCAUCUUUGUGUAGAGAGACCUUCAAAGCUCAAAGAGAGCCUGGAUGAACUGCAAAGUCAAAUGGAGCCAGGGGCCUCUGGGCAAAUAGCCUUUCUUGCCAAGGUAGGACCGCAGUGGCGGCAGCAACCUCUGGUCCAGCCACAGUUUUCCUCCCCCCGCAGUCCCUCUCCACAGUGAUCUGGCUAAAGAGCCUCCAACCAUCCUUUAGCCUCCAAGGAAAACAAGGGGCCUGUGAUCUCCAGAGCUAAAUUGUCAUAGGCCCCACCCUCACUGGAUUUCUGAAGGUCAAGGCACAGAGUCAGCCCAGCCAGCUCUAUAAGGACUCAUAGCAAAUGUGUUUUCACAUAUCCCAGAGGAAGGCUCCUCAAAUACAUGGAAACUCAGUAAAUUCUGCUUCUAUUUUCAAAAUAAGUCCAGCAAGCUGACAACUAGCACCUUGGUCCAAGGCAUUAUCAUCUCUCACUUGGAUUACUACAAUCAGCACCUGACUGGCCCCCCUAAGCUCACCCUUGCUACCCUAAAGUCUAUUCUCACCACAACAGCCAAAGUGGUCCUUCUAAAAUGUGUGUUGUAGGGGCACCUGGCUGGCUCAGUCGUUAAGCAUCUGCCUUCGGCUCAGGUCAUGAUCCCAGGGUCCUGGGAUCAAGCCCUGCAUCGGGCUUCCUGCUCUGAGGGAAGCCUGCUUCUUCCUCUCCCACUCCCCCUGCUUGUGUUCCCUCUCUCACUGUGUCUCUCUCUGUCAAAUAAAUAAAUAAAAUCUUAAAAAUAAAUAAAU